UACAGAGGUCUCAAGCGUUGUUCGGAUUCAUUGGGCGUAAAGGGUGUGUAGGUGGCGCCGUAAGUCGGGUGUGAAAUUUCGGAGCUUAACUCCGAAACUGCAUUCGAUACUGCCGUGCUUGAGGACUGGAGAGGAGACUGGAAUUUACGGUGUAGCGGUGAAAUGCAUAGAUAUCGUAAGGAAGACCAGUGGCGAAGGCGGGUCUCUGGACAGUUCCUGACGCUGAGGCACGAAGGUCAGGGGAGCAAACGGG
rnacentral:rRNA from 1 species